rnacentral:rRNA from 1 species
CGAAGUCACUGAUACCACGCUUCCAGGGAAAAGCUCCUAAGCUUCAGCUUACGCAGACCGUACCGUAAACCGACACAGGUGGNUAGGAUGAGAAUUCUCAGGCGCUUGAGAGAACUCGGGUGAAGGAACUAGGCAACAUGGCACCGUAACUUCGGGAGAAGGUGCACCCUUUUUGGUGGCUCAUGCGAGCUAUAGCUGAAGAGGGUCGCAGUAACCAGGCCGCUGCGACUGUUUAUCAAAAACACAGCACUCUGCAAACACGAAAGUGGACGUAUAGGGUGUGACGCCUGCCCGGUGCUGGAAGGUUAAUUGAUGGGGUCAGCCGCAAGGCGAAGCUCUUGAUCGAAGCCCCAGUAAACGGCGCCCGUAACUAUAACGGUCCUAAGGUAGCGAAAUUCCUUGUCGGGUAAGUUCCGACCUGCACGAAUGGCGUAACGACAGCGGCGCUGUCUCCACCCGAGACUCAGUGAAAUUGAAAUCGCUGUGAAGAUGCAGCGUUCCCGUGGCAAGACGGAAAGACCCCGUGAACCUUUACUAUAGCUUUACACUGAACGUUGAGUUCGUCUGUGUAGGAUAGGUGGGAGGCUAUGAAACUGUGGCGCUAGCUGCAGUGGAGCCAUCCUUGAAAUACCACCCUGUCGUGCUUGACGUUCUAACCUGGGCCCAUUAUCCGGGUCGGGGACCGUGUAUGGUGGGUAGUUUGACUGGGGCGGUCUCCUCCUAAAGAGUAACGGAGGAGCUCGAAGGUACGCUCAGCGCGGUCGGACAUCGCGCACUGUGUGCAAAGGCAUAAGCGUGCUUGACUGCAAGAUCGACGGAUCAAGCAGGUAGGAAACUAGGACUUAGUGAUCCGGUGGUUCUGUAUGGAAGGGCCAUCGCUCAACGGAUAAAAGGUACUCCGGGGAUAACAGGCUGAUACCGCCCAAGAGUUCAUAUCGACGGCGGUGUUUGGCACCUCGAUGUCGGCUCAUCACAUCCUGGGGCUGUAGUCGGUCCCAAGGGUAUGGCUGUUCGCCAUUUAAAGUGGUACGCGAGCUGGGUUCAGAACGUCGUGAGACAGUUCGGUCCCUAUCUGCCAUGGGCGUUGGAGAUUUGAGAGGGGCUGCUCCUAGUACGAGAGGACCGGAGUGGACGAACCUCUGGUGUUCCGGUUGUCACGCCAGUGGCAUUGCCGGGUAGCUAUGUUCGGAAGCGAUAACCGCUGAAAGCAUCUAAGCGGGAAGCGCGCCUCAAGAUGAGAUCUCCCGGGGCACAAGCCCCCUGAAGGAACCAUGUAGACUACGUGGUUGAUAGGUCAGGUGUGUAAGUACAGCAAUGUAUUGAGCUAACUGAUACUAAUGAUCCGUGCGGCUUGACCAU